GUACCUGGUUGACGUAUGGUUUAUCUGAUGAAAGAACGAGAGUAGAUUAGCAUGGCCCCUGCACAAGAAUGACACGCAAAUUCGUGAAGACAUUAGUGGGCAU